AGCUGGCGGUGCUGGGGCAGCGAUCCGCGGGAGCUGCGCGUCUCCUGGCUGCCAGCCGUGCCGCGCCGGAUCUGCCCGCUCGGCUAAGAUUUUACGUCUAAAAUACUUUCCUCUCCCUUCCCUUUUUUCCCCGGGGGCAGGAGGAGAAGGGAAGCAGAGAGACAGUCCCUUUCCAAAGAACUGAAAAACGGGUCACCUGGGCCCAGCCCUGCGAGUGCUGCUUCGCAGACUUAGUGAGCAAAGUUCCUGGCAGGAUUUGGACCGGGAGCAUGAAGUCUUCACGAUGGCACAAGAAGUUCUUAAUCUGCACCCAGUAUAGGACCAUUCUGCCCUGAGCAAAGGGAUACUUAAACAAGACAAAAUGUGGAAACACCAGACAGCACAGAAAAUAAUGCAAGAGAACUGGAAACUAGCAUGCACUAUUGCUGGCAACUAGCUGCAACUUACAUCAGUUUUGUAUGUUUAGAAGGCAAAAGUUACGGAAGCAUCUGAAGAAUAUCUACCAGAAAUCUACAUUGAAUAAAUUUGCAGAGUCCACAUGGAGAUGAAAUUAAAUGUAGCACAGUAUGCUUUAGCGACAUGCCUGUCCAGUCUGCUACACAAGGAGGCUGACUGCCGAGUACGCAGAGACUGUGGGUGAAAUUCUGUAUUGCAACUCUUAGAAGGAUUUAGAAUGCACUUGCAGUUUUGGAGAAAGAUUUUGCCCACCAGCGCUUGACUGUUCUAAGGCUAGCAAUGCCUGGGCACCAUUUAAGGGGUAUUUUAUUGCUAUUCAGAGAAGUGAUUGUAACUAGUGUAAUCAUACGUGAAGACUAACAAUACUUUGAAGUAGCACAAGUGACAAAAUGGGUGCAUGAGCAAAUAAAUAUUCAAUGGUUUAAUUCUA